rnacentral:rRNA from 1 species
UACGGAGGGUGCGAGCGUUGUCCGGAAUCAUUGGGCGUAAAGGGCGCGUAGGUGGCCCGGUCAGUCUUUGGUGAAAGCGCGGGGCUCAACCCUGCGUCGGCCAGGGAUACUGCCGCGGCUCGAGCACUGUAGAGGCAGGCGGAAUUCCGGGUGUAGCGGUGGAAUGCGUAGAGAUCCGGAAGAACACCGGUGGCGAAGGCGGCCUGCUGGGCAGUUUUGCUGACACUGAGGCGCGACAGCGUGGGGAGCGAACAGG